rnacentral:tRNA from 1 species
GGAGAUGUAGUUCAGCGGUAGAGCAUUUGUUUAGUGUGCUUGAAGGCCUGGAUUCAAUCCUCAGCAUAUCCC